rnacentral:tRNA from 1 species
UGUCCAGGGAUGGGAAACGAAUUUAUAGUGUUCCGCUUACCGGGCAGAUGCCAUGUCCACUAGGCUAACCUGGAC